rnacentral:misc_RNA from 1 species
GUUGUUGCUAAGCCUGUUGUAGAGGUUCGUUAUUAUUGGUAUAGUUCUUAUUAAUAAGGGGCCAAGGGCGUCCUUUUCUUCUAGCAAUUUAUAUAUUAGCUACAUUGUAGUAUCCUUUGUUUCUUUUUGCUAACUAAUGUUAAUGUUCAUUCCACAUAUUAUUGUUAGUACGCCUUAUGAAGUCGCUUAUGCCCCAUGUUGUUCUUCUAAAGGAUUAU